rnacentral:rRNA from 1 species
UCUUGGUCAUUUAGAGGAAGUAAAAGUCGUAACAAGGUUUCCGUAGGUGAACCUGCGGAAGGAUCAUUACCUAGAGUUUGUGGGCUUUGCCUGCUAUCUCUUACCCAUGUCUUUUGAGUACUUACGUUUCCUCGGUGGGUUCGCCCGCCGAUUGGACAAUUUAAACCCUUUGCAGUUGCAAUCAGCGUCUGAAAAAAAUUAAUAAUUACAACUUUCAACAACGGAUCUCUUGGUUCUGGCAUCGAUGAAGAACGCAGCGAAAUGCGAUAAGUAGUGUGAAUUGCAGAAUUCAGUGAAUCAUCGAAUCUUUGAACGCACAUUGCGCCCCUUGGUAUUCCAUGGGGCAUGCCUGUUCGAGCGUCAUUUGUACCUUCAAGCUUUGCUUGGUGUUGGGUGUUUGUCUCGCCUUUGCGUGUAGACUCGCCUCAAAACAAUUGGCAGCCGGCGUAUUGAUUUCGGAGCGCAGUACAUCUCGCGCUUUGCACUCAUAACGACGACGUCCAAAAGUACAUUUUUACACUCUGAC